rnacentral:rRNA from 1 species
UACGUAGGGGGCUAGCGUUAUCCGGAAUUACUGGGCGUAAAGGGUGCGUAGGUGGUUUCUUAAGUCAGAGGUGAAAGGCUACGGCUCAACCGUAGUAAGCCUUUGAAACUGGGGAACUUGAGUGCAGGAGAGGAGAGUGGAAUUCCUAGUGUAGCGGUGAAAUGCGCAGAUAUUAGGAGGAACACCAGUGGCGAAGGCGAUUCUCUGGACUGUAACUGACGCUGAGGCUCGAAAGCGUGGGGAGCAAACAGG